UGGGGAAUAUUGCGCAAUGGGGGGAACCCUGACGCAGCAACGCCGCGUGAAGGAAGACGGUUUUCGGAUUGUAAACUUCUUUGACCGGGGACGAUAAUGACGGUACCCGGAAAACAAGCCACGGCUAACUACGUGCCAGCAGCCGCGGUAAUACGUAGGUGGCGAGCGUUGUCCGGAAUUACUGGGUGUAAAGGGUGAGUAGGCGGAAUGGCAAGUCAGAUGUGAAAUAUCGGGGCUUAACCCCGGGGCUGCAUUUGAAACUGCUGUUCUUGAGUGAUGGAGAGGCAGGCGGAAUUCCUAGUGUAGCGGUGAAAUGCGUAGAGAUUGGGAGGAACACCAGUGGCGAAGGCGACUUACUGGGCCGUAACUGACGCUGAUGCGCGAAAGCGUGGGGAGCGAACA
rnacentral:rRNA from 1 species